rnacentral:rRNA from 1 species
UACGUAGGGUCCGAGCGUUGUCCGGAAUUAUUGGGCGUAAAGAGCUCGUAGGCGGUUUGUCGCGUCGGCCGUGAAAUCUCCACGCUUAACGUGGAGCGUGCGGUCGAUACGGGCAGACUUGAGUUCGGUAGGGGAGACUGGAAUUCCUGGUGUAGCGGUGAAAUGCGCAGAUAUCAGGAGGAACACCGAUGGCGAAGGCAGGUCACUGGGCCGCAACUGACGCUGAGGAGCGAAAGCAUGGGGAGCGAACAGG